rnacentral:miRNA from 1 species
AACCUCAAAAAACCACAACAGUCUGUUUCGUCCGUAUAGGAAUCAUCAGGCGGUCACUUGAUCAUUCCUAUACGGAUGAAACAGACUGUUGUGGUUUUU